rnacentral:lncRNA from 1 species
UUUUUUUUUUUUGUUUGUUUUUUUUUUUGUUUUUUUUAUCAAGUACAAAUGGGAAAUGAAUUCAAGUAAUGUAAACAGAAUUUUGUAGUGGUCUUUUAAGGGCUGUGUUUCUAGAGAUCGUUGUGGGAAGCCAAGCUGGCUUUGUGACCUACAAUAUUUCCUGCAGUGAGCUAACUUGGGAGCAUUUAUCAAAAAAAGUCACAGGACACUAUGCACAUAGGCUUGAAAUCUAGCUAAAGAUGGAUUAUUGCUAUUGCGGUUUGUUUAAUGAAUAAAAAUCAAUGUCUAUGAAUGAGGUCUUCUUUAGGAUGGGUGGUCCUCAUUGUUAGAAAAUGGUCUUGGGAAAAUUAUUUUAAGUCCCCAUGAGGAAGCCCUUUUCUAUCCUGAAUGAGUAAGCUGCCCAUUUCUCUCCUAAAAAUGAGAGCGGAGAGAGUGGAUUUUAUACGAUAGAUUGACAUUAUGAUAUGAUUGAUUUUGCUGUACCAUGGGACAAACAAUUCAUUCUCUGCCUAACAAAUAUCAGGUGCUACUUGCACAAGGAAACCACCUACAUAGAAAUGAAAUAUUUUUUUAAGGGAGUGGCUGUCAAAAGUUCUGUGUUCUGGAAUUCUACAUACUUUAUUGCUCUGGGUAGCUCAUUAUUCUCUAAGGAUUGGCAGUUUCCUUUAUUGGAGUGUGCAAACCAAUAGGCAUGUGUAGGUGGGGGCACCUACAAUGGCUGUGGCUAUUGAUACUGGAUUCAGUGCAUUUUAGCUUUCCUCCCCAGACUCACCCCAUUUUGAAGUCCAGUGUCAACCCUAUACCAUGACACAUAUCCUGUUCUUCGCAUUUCCAUUCUUCAGUGUAUGGCUUUGUCCCUGAAACAUCUGUUUUCUUUUUUCUACCCUCAUACGCUUACCUAUCCAUCAAAGCCAAACUCCAAGACUACUCCCAUCAUGUUCCCGAUUUCUGCUUGCUCGGUAGUUAGAUUCAGCCCCACCUCUCAGCUCAUUGUCUGUUACUAUUUGGUUUUUCUGAGCAACAAAUUCUGCAAGUGCAAAAUGUGACUCAGAGAGAGGUGUCUGUAAAGGAGAAGGACGGUAAGAACGACUGCUCAGACUGCCAAUCAGACAGUUCCUGUCAGCCCCAUGUGCUAUGCUUUCUAAUACAGAUGCCUCAUCACAAAUAUCUGGCACUGUGCUAAUCUUGGAUGCAGCUACCUUAUUCUGUCACUGAUGGACUCCCAUCUGGAGUUAAGCAUAUGCUGAGGUGACCCCAAGGGCUCCAAUGGCAGGUGCCUGUCAGCUGACCGUAUUUCAUCCAGGAAUAUAGCAACUCCUCUCUCAAAGGAUGAGCUGGAGGGUUCAUCACUAGAUUUACCUCACUGGUUUUGUGGCCCAUAGGUUUAGAAUGUUCGAUGAUGAAAGGACUUGGUUGCACUGUUGUUUUGCACGUGUGGAAACAGAGGCCUCAUGCUGGGACUCAAGCUCCUUGCUUUGGAGGAUCUGAUCCACACUGAACUGAACUUCGCAUCAAAUCCUAGCGGCCAACUCAACCUUCCCCACCUCUACUCUGUUACCAAUAGCAUGUGUCAGUGUCCAUUUUUCUAACUACCCCUAUGCACUGCUUCUUCCCUGGUCACCAAGGGGCAUAGGUACUGGAUAAGAAAACAAGAAAACCCUUUAAAGCCUGACUAGGUCCUUGAGCUCCUCUUAGACACUAAAAACAGUGUUUAUUGCCACGAAAUAGUUGAAUUUUGUUACUUGAAAUCCACACAGUUACAGAUAAUGAAGGGGAGCAAGGGGUGGACUGGAGGGACUGGAGGGACUGGAGGUGGUCUGUAAAGAUGUUUUAGUAAAAGAAAGAAGAUCAGUGAGCAGAUUAGGAGUAAACCAAAGCAUCUUUCUCCCUCUCUGUUCUCAGGAAAGAAACUUCAGGGCAUUUCCAAAGUCCCUGUGUGUGCCUUGUGGUGGAACCAUCCUCCUGCUCUUGGGGGAGGGAGCUGCCUCCCAGGGGCCUGGACCACUUGAGUGGUGACUGGUAAUGCCUUAAUUACCAGGCCCAGAGCAGGUGAUGUCUGGCUGCGGGUCCUCAGGGCUACUGAUUACUCAACUCCCCCUCUACAAGGAAACACUUUCCACAUCAAUAAUUAAACAGAACAAUUAGAGCGAUUUAAAAAGUAUAAUUAGGCAGAAUCAACUCUGUGUCCCUGGAGCAUCCUUGCUUUCUCUUCCUCAUGUUUCAUGCCCUCCCUCAUCUUUCUUUAGAGCAUCAUUUUGGGAAUCCAGCAGGCCCCUGUUCUGAAUCUUUAAACCCCAGUGGGGCAGGGGAGAAUCCAUUUACAAGCACAAAGGUGAGGGAUAGAAGGUAAGGACAGACACAGACCAUCUGUUCUCUGUUCCUGACACACUGUUUCUGACACACACACAGUCUUGGUUCAUGGGGUACAGAGGGAAGAUGCAGAAUGAACAUGGGGCUGGCAUCUGUGGCCAGGAUCGAGGAAUCCCUGGCAUAGGGUCCCCUGUCCCUAGAAUGGUGACAGAUGCUAUGUGUGACUUCUUGAUGGGAGACCAUAGAUCAAAGAUGUGAGGUCCCCCUACCUACUUCUCUGAAUUUAUCUGUACCCUGUGCUGGAAAGAGUCCAUUGUUUCAAAUUUAUUUAUAUCUUAAAGAAAUGACUGUCUUAGCCUAGUUUUUGUUGGUAUCACAAAAUAAGUAGAGCCUGGGGUUAUAAAGAAAGCGUUUAUAAAGAAAGCAUGGUUCUGGUGGCUCCAGGUCCAAUUAGUAAGGCUGGCAUCCUGGUAAGGGUGUUCUAGGUUGUUUCACAACGUGGUAGAGAAAAUUGCCAUGUGCAGAAGGAGCCAACCAUGCUGGUCAUCUGGCUUUACAACAGCUCCUCUAGGAAGAGCUCUCACCCCUGGAAGACUCCCUUGGGUCAACACUGAUGCAGUUGUGAAGUUGGGACUUCUUAACCACUCACUGGGUCCCACCUCCUAAAGAAGCCACUAUACUGGGGAUCAAGCAGCCAGUUGUGAAUACCUAGGGAUAAACACUUCCAAUCCAUAGCUUGACCCAACCCCAAAUAUGAAAACAGUGAGAAUUGGCGAUGCCUCCCAGCUCAGUGUAGAGAUUUAAAUUUUAUAGUUUGUGUGUCUGCUCUUCUCUGAGAUCCCAGGAUAAAAACUGAACCAACGGUUAUCAACAAAGAAAAUGUACUGUCUGUCAUGAAGCAGACUGUCAUUGUCCACAGGUCAAAGAUCUCUCUCAGUUAGCAUUCAGAGAAGGCUGUGCAGAAGAACUGCAAUCAAUCUAGGAGCCAAGAAUGGAAUGCCUCUCCUACGAGAGAUGGUGAGAAGCAGCCAGAGGCUCACAUACCAGGGCCCAAGGGACAGCAGGCUGCAGUGCAGUGACCAGGUCAGAUCUGAGACCACUCAGUGAAGACAGAAGGGCCAGGGCAAGUCAGUGGCACUCAGACCUGCAGAUGACAAUCUCAGGGUCCACGAGGUCCAAGGGGCUGACCUCAGACCCUUCCUGGAGGUCACAUAAAGGGCAGCCAACCUCUCCACUCUGCUCUAACUUCCUUCUUGGCAUACUAUUUCCUGCACCCACUCCCUACUUCCUCCCCACGGGAUAUUUAUCUGACUUUCAGCUUGACAAAGGAAAUCAUAGAAAAGAAAGUAAUAUUUCUCUUCUCUUCAACCCUGGACAGAUGUCACAAGAAGUCAAGGUGGGGGGUAGGGCAAAGAAGAAUCUCUUUUAGGGCUAAAUAUAGGCAACUAUAGAUUCACCUCUGGUGGCCUUAGAGGUCAGGAGGGAGAAACCUGAUCAGACGUAAGGCUGUGUCUUUCAAAGGACAGGCUCAGUUGGAGGAGACAGAGUGAGAAUGUCAUUCUUUUGUGUCCUUCUGUGAUGCACAAUUAAAGCAUAAAAUGAGUGACAAAAUAUCCGAUUUAUUUUCUCUAGAGUUCAAGCAGCAAUUUAAAAGAUGUACUGGACAUCAGGAAUAAUGAAAAUGCCCCACAAGUCUCCUGAUUCUAAAAGAAAAUAUUUGAUCAAAAGAUAUGGAGAAAAAUAAGCAAAAAAUCAGAACAAAAC